GUAGGAUGCAACCCACUGUCUCUAAAACACCUGUAUCUGCAGAGCUGGCUUUCAGGACACUCAAUUAGAAUAGAAAGAGAUAUCAGAGACCACCCAAUUCAUAUGUUCUAACAAUCAGCAAAAGAAACCAUACAAGGCUAGAAGAAUAGCAGUACUAAGUGCUCACACAUGUUGGGGUGCUGAACAGUAAAGGAGGAAUUGCAGUCCCUUGCAGGGGAGAAGAGGCUUCUCAUCUUUACCUCGCAACACGUCCAGAAGUGGUUACAUUCCCUGGAUCUUCAGUGGGAAAUUGGACACUAAAACAUCAAGGCAGAAAGAAAAAAAAUAUCUAGAAAUACAUAGCAAGUGUGAUGCUAUGUCUGAUUCAGGGAAGAUAAUCUCCAAAUCAGGUGUCAUUAGAAUAUUCAAGAUCCAUUAGAUCCUCCCAAAAUAAUGAGUUUUGUAAGAAGCUGUCUCACAUACAACCUUCAGUAUUUUCCUUCACAUCUGGUUAUGGAAGCAGUUGAGACAUCAGUGCCUCUCAAAUGGUGCGAUUGGUCAUCUAGAAUACAUUCAGGGAACUGUGUAUACCCAAAAAAUGUGCAUGUGACCAAAGGCCAAAUGCACAAGCCAGGAGGCAGCUUCGACUUCAAACAAGACUUGCAGACUCACAUUUCCCAUCUCAGGGGAAAAUAAUCGUGCUUUCUUCCCAUUUACACCUUCAUGGACUUCUAAAACCGUUUAAGACUCCAGGCCAUGGAUCCAGCUGCUGCUACCAGGCAAGAACAGUUUGGCUGAUGUUCUGCUGACAGAGAACAAAAGGUGCUCAGUACACAGAGAAAAUGUGCAGGCAAAGGGCCAUCAGACAUACCUGGGCUUCCCAACAGCUUUCAAGUUCAGAGUUCUUACAGUUCCUGUAAUUCUUCUCCAGCAGAACAAAC